rnacentral:rRNA from 1 species
GAGUUUGAUCAUGGCUCAGAACGUACGCUGGCGGCACGCCUAACACAUGCAAGUCGAACGAAGUAGCAAUACUUAGUGGCAGACGGGUGAGUAACAUGUAGGUAUCUGCCCUUUGGCCUGGAAUAACACGAGGAAACUUGUGCUAAUACCGGAUAAGUCUUUACGGAGAAAGCUUUAUGCACCAUUGGAUGAGCCUGCACUUGAUUAGUUUGUUGGUGGGGUAAUGGCCUACCAAGACUGUGAUCAAUAGCUGAUUUGAGAGGAUGAUCAGCCACAUUGGGACUGAGACACGGCCCAAACUCCUACGGGAGGCAGCAGUGGGGAAUCUUGCACAAUGGAGGAAACUCUGAUGCAGCGAUGCCGCGUGAGUGAAGAAGGCCCUUGGGUUGUAAAGCUCUUUCGUCGGGGAAGAAAAUGACUGUACCCGAAUAAGAAGGUCCGGCUAACUUCGUGCCAGCAGCCGCGGUAAUACGAAGGGACCUAGCGUAGUUCGGAAUUACUGGGCUUAAAGAGUUCGUAGGUGGUUGAAAAAGUUAGUGGUGAAAUCCCAGAGCUUAACUCUGGAACUGCCAUUAAAACUUUUCAGCUAGAGUAUGAUAGAGGAAAGCAGAAUUUCUAGUGUAGAGGUGAAAUUCGUAGAUAUUAGAAAGAAUACCAAUUGCGAAGGCAGCUUUCUGGAUCAUUACUGACACUGAGGAACGAAAGCAUGGGUAGCGAAGAGGAUUAGAUACCCUCGUAGUCCAUGCCGUAAACGAUGUGUGUUAGACGUUGGAAAUUUAUUUUCAGUGUCGCAGCGAAAGCGAUAAACACACCGCCUGGGGAGUACGACCGCAAGGUUAAAACUCAAAUGAAUUGACGGGGACCCGCACAAGUAGUGGAGCAUGUGGUUUAAUUCGAAGAUACGCGCAGAACCUUACCAACACUUGACAUGUUCGUCGCGACUCUAAGAGAUUAGAGUUUUCGGUUCGGCCGGACGAAACACAGGUGCUGCAUGGCUGUCGUCAGCUCGUGUCGUGAGAUGUUGGGUUAAGUCCCGCAACGAGCGCAACCCUCACUUUUAGUUGCCAUCAUUAAGUUGGGCACUCUGAAAGAACUGCCAGUGAUAAGCUGGAGGAAGGUGGGGAUGACGUCAAGUCCUCAUGGCCCUUACGUGUUGGGCUACACACGUGCUACAAUGGUAUCUACAACAGGAAGCAAAACGGCAACGUUAAGCAAAUCCCGAAAAGAUACCUCAGUUCGGAUUGCACUCUGCAACUCGAGUGCAUGAAGCUGGAAUUACUAGUAAUCGUGGAUCAGCGUGCCACGGUGAAUGCGUUCCCGGGUCUUGUACACACCGCCCGUCACACCAUGGGAGUUGGUUCUACCUUAAGGCAAGGUUUUAAACCCUUGACCACGGUAUAGUCAGCGACUGGGGUGAAGUCGUAACAAGGUAACC